UUGGGAGCCUCUUGUUCAUUAAUUACAAGUAUGUAUUAUAUAUUCAUUAGAAUCUGUCAUUUUAUUAGUGUUUUAUAAGCAUCCGCUUUUAAUUUGCACAUUUCCAAUUCAAUGGACCAUGUUUUAUCUUUAUAAACGUUCGAUGUGACUGUGUCACUGUGGGCCAAUUAAUUCACGGUGUGCUAUGCAUAAAUUAUCAAGACCCAGA
rnacentral:lncRNA from 1 species